rnacentral:tRNA from 1 species
UUCAUAUUGGAAUGGGUGAAGAGUCAAAUGUUUUGGUAAUUCCUCACGGGGGGGUGAAUCAAGAUAAUUUUGAAUCAGAGCCCUGGA